CAUUGAAAUACUGGUUCCCAUACAAAUCACUGAAGUUAAGCAACAUUGAGCCUGGUCAGUAUCUAGAUGGGAGAUUGCUUGGAAAUAGCAGGUGCUGUAAG